rnacentral:lncRNA from 1 species
AUUUGUCUCACGAAUUAGACUCCAUCUGUACAAUUAGUUUUAUAAUUAGCUCAUGUUUAAUCCUUCUAAUUAGUAUCCAAAUAUCCGAUGUGAUCCCGUAGCAGUUUAGCACCUUGUAUCCAAAACCCAGAGUCGCCACGGGUCCCAGAACCAUGCAUGCAGGAAGAGUACAAGGCCACUUGCGUGAAUGAGCCUCACCUCAGUGACAUGUUGUCG